rnacentral:lncRNA from 1 species
AGAGUUAAGAGUUCUGCAGCCAGAUGCCUGUAAGAUAAACUGCCAAUGGAAAUUUUAUGCGGAGUGGUGACAGCAAGGAAGACCCAGCCACGUACCUUGAAGGUCCCUCCAGAUUUAUCUUCAGGCCAUGCGACACUUUAUUGUUAUCAAUUCCUUAGAUUCAGGGUCUCCAUUUUCAUCAGCACGGCUAGAUGGCCUGUAAGGUCUUUCUUUUUUCAGGACACUUAGGAGUUGGAGCAGGAAGGAGCAGGGCAGAGCCUUCUAAGCAGGUGCUGCUGCAUGCCUGGAAUCCCACUGUGGCUUUAUUCCUUAGUGUGGGUUCUCUCUUAGUCUGCAGGGACUCCUGGGAAGUUGACAGUCAUUUACAUCUUAAUGUGAAUAAGGUUUUUUUUUUAAGGCUCCUUUCCUAAGAGCAAGUGAGAUGAGGAAAGAGGGAAAUAAGAAAGAGAAAAGGAGAAGUAACUGAGGAAAAGCUGCCAGCUGUGAAGAAAACAGCUGAUGAAAGGGGCUCAAGCUAGCUUCAUUUCUUGCAGGUCUAGUUCUAAGUCUAGGGGCAGAAGUCUUCGAUUUGGCUGGACACCCAGCCUCCUCUGUGACCUGUCAGGAUUUUUAACUUCACAAUAACUCCUAAGCGGACUGCUGUCCACUGGCCACAACUCACUGAAACUUUCUCCAUAUUCAGCAUUUAUUAAAGACUGGAGGUUCCAAGGGAUGGUGAAAUCCUCUGCAUGGUGUAUCAAGAGAGGAAACCAGCACGAACUCUGUUAAGCCAGACAACUUACAUGGCAGCCCCGAGGAAAUCCCGAAGAAAGACACAAGUUGCCGUCAUUUUUCAAGGUGUAGGUCAAAUAUCCAGAAAUGGAAGCCAUCGCCCCAACCCAUUGCCAUUUCCACGGCACACGGUACAGAACACUGCAGAGACGAGCUCAGUCUCCAGGUCUCAGGAGGCUCCAGCCUCUUGGACGCUCAGGCACUCAGGCCUUGCGGCUCCACCUCGCACCCUGUGCACUGCUUCAUGGAGCCUUCACCACACUCCUUUUUAACUGCAACUAGUGAGUUCUACCAGCAGAGCCCAUCCAAAGAGGAGCCUGUAUCUAUUCAUUGUUGAUUCCCAGUGCCUCAUCCGGGAGUGUCACAGCAGGCACUCAAAGAGUCUGCUAAAUGUAUUCCUUGGGUUAUAAGUAGAAAACUUGGGGUGUGUCCUCAGUAGCCUUGGCUCUGGUUUAAGCCCUCUGAGGCCCCUGCCUUCCCCUUGCGUGUCCCCUCCCCUCCCCCAACCCCCACCCUCAGGGUCUUGGGAGGUUCCGACACCUAACCUCAGGCGGAUUGUUCAUGUCUUCCUUCUACUCCACCCCUUGGCGACUUCCACUACAGAAUAUCUAGUCACCUCUGUUUCUCUCUUCCUAUCAGGGACUACACUUCACAAGAAGGGCUCCUGAGAGUCUCCAGCUCCUUUCUUCCAUGAGCUUGAGUCAGAAACUUGGAAUGGCUUGUGUUGCCUGUGAAAGCAUUUCUUCCUGAGAAGGUGCUGCCUACAUAAUGUAAAAUGAAAUACAAGUAUCAACAUAAUUCCAGUUGUUCAUGAUAUAAUGUUAAAGGAAAUGAUGAACAUACAAAACCAUACAUGCAUACAUGGUUUCAUCUUUUUUUUUUUGAGACAGGGUCUCACUCUGUCACCCAGGCUGGAGUGCAGUGGCACGAUCAUGGCUCACUGCAGCCUUGACCACCCAAGACUUAGGUGAUCCUCCUGCCUCAGCAUCCCCACCCACCCCCAACCCCUGCCCCACAGUAGCUGGGACUACAGGCGCAUACCACCACACGUGGAGAAUUUUUGUAUUUUUAAUAGAGACAGCGUUUCGCCACCUUGCCCAGGCUGCUCUCAAACUCCUGGACCCCAGCAAUCCACCCACCACGGCCUCCCAAAGUGCAGAGAUUACAGGCAUGAGCCAUAGCACCCAGCCCAUGGUAUGAUCUUAACACACCUACUGCUAAAAAAUUACAUGUGUAGAAAAAAACUUUUUACAACUCCUGCAAAGUGAACAUAAAAUAAAAAAAUAAUAAUAAAAAUAAAUAAUCA